rnacentral:rRNA from 1 species
GAUGAACGCUGGCGGCGUGCUUAACACAUGCAAGUCGAACGAAGCAUUUAAUUGGAAGUUUACGGAUGGAAGAAUAGAUGACUUAGUGGCGGACGGGUGAGUAACGCGUGGAUAACCUGCCUUAUACAGGGGGAUAACGGAGAGAAAUUUCCGCUAAGACCGCAUAAGACCACAGCAGCGCAUGCUGCGGGGGUAAAAUAUUAAUAGGUAUAAGAUGGAUCCGCGUCCGAUUAGCUUGUUGGCGGGGUAGGGGCCCACCAAGGCGACGAUCGGUAGCCGGCCUGAGAGGGUGAACGGCCACAUUGGGACUGAGACACGGCCCAAACUCCUACGGGAGGCAGCAGUGGGGAAUAUUGGACAAUGGGGGGAACCCUGAUCCAGCGACGCCGCGUGAGUGAAGAAGUAUUUCGGUAUGUAAAGCUCUAUCAGCAGGGAAGAAAAUGACGGUACCUGACUAAGAAGCCCCGGCUAACUACGUGCCAGCAGCCGCGGUAAUACGUAGGGGGCAAGCGUUAUCCGGAUUUACUGGGUGUAAAGGGAGCGCAGACGGCGAUGCAAGUCUGUAGUGAAAGGCGUGGGCUCAACUCACGAACUGCUUUGGAAACUGUAUAGCUUUGAGUGUCGGAGGGGUAAGCUGAAUUCCUAGUGUAGCGGUGAAUGCGUAUAUAUUAUGAGUAACACCGGAGGCGAAGCGGGUUUGCUGACGACUCUGACGUUGAGGUCGAAUGGCGUGUGGAGCGAAUAUGAUUAUAUUCCCUGGUGGUCAGUGGCGAUGUCCUCAUGUGUAUUUUAUGUUAUCUGAUGCUUCUGCCGCUGCGGGGGGUCACAGUAUCUAUAUAAUGUAUCUGUUUAUUAUGAUUUUUUUAGUCUGUUUUUUUCUUGUUUUUUUUUUGGACUUUGUGUGAUGUUUCUUGUUUUUUUGUUGUGUUUGCUGCCUCUGUGCUCCCUUUGUGUAUAUUUAUUUUCUCUGUCUUAGUUUUUAUGCUUUCCUUGUUG